CUUUGGUCUUCAUUUACACUUCUUAGUGAAUAUUUCACUAGGAGAAAGAACGUUCACGUUCCACCACUUACACCCCUGUAAAAGUAUGAAAAUAAGAAGAACCCCUGGCUUUCCUGCCUUGCUCCGAUUCCAGAGCCGUGAACUGAAAAGAUCUUGUCAGUGAUUCUGGAACAGAUUUUGCCACCUGGUUAGCAGGGGAAGAAAGAAGAGAAACUUCCAGCUUCAGGAGACAGGGAAAUGAAGACAUGAGGCUUGUUGUCAUUGUCCAGCUUUCCAUUAUGAAUUUAUGACCAUUGUCUAUAUUUUCCUUUAUAAUCUGACUGCCUGAAGAACCAGUUA
rnacentral:lncRNA from 1 species